rnacentral:rRNA from 1 species
AGUAACACGUGGAUAACAUACCUAUAAGACUGGGAUAACUUCGGGAAACCGGAGCUAAUACCGGAUAAUAUUUUGAACCGCAUGGUUCAAAAGUGAAAGACGGUCUUGCUGUCACUUAUAGAUGGAUCCGCGCUGCAUUAGCUAGUUGGUAAGGUAACGCUUACCAAGGCAACGAUGCAUAGCCGACCUGAGAGGGUGAUCGGCCACACUGGAACUGAGACACGGUCCAG